UUCUCUCUUUUCAUCUUCUUUCCCCUUCUCCAUCUUCCCCUCGCUUUCUCGCGUCCUCUGUUUAUAUCAAAUCUCUACAACUUAUAUACACAUCUAUAUACGUGUGUAUAUAUAUAUGCUCAUCCACAAUCCUACGUUAUCUCCAUGAAACUUGCCCAAUAAUUCCAUUACCAACCAUGAUAUCCAGAUCACUCCUCUUCCUCCUCGUCCUCUGCUCCUCCGCCGCGUACGGCCGCUUCAUCACCGCACGUCCGUCGUCUACGGGUCUAGUCUACGAUGGAGGUUCAAUCAUCGAGACGGUGGUCUCGGCUCCGGCGGAGGAGGAAGCUUGUGAGCAGACGUACGGGUUCAUGCCCUGUACUAAGACAGCUCUCGGUAACGUGUUCCUCAUCAUCGUCUACGGGUUCUUGAUGUUCACUGCCGCGAAGUACCUCUCCAAUGGCAGUGAGCUUCUCCUUGAGAUCCUUGGCCCUGGAAUCGUUGGUGGGUUGUUUCUCCCAAUCCUCGGGGCGCUUCCCGAUGCUAUGCUCAUUCUGGUUUCGGGACUUUCUGGAACCCCGGAAACCGCCCAGAGUCAGGUCUCGGUCGGGAUGGGUUUGCUCGCUGGUUCAACAGUUAUGCUCCUCACUGUCAUAUGGGGAACUUGCACUGUGGUUGGCAAGUGUGACCUUCGGGAUUCGAUCGCUGUAAACGGUCAGGACACAAAGGGCUUCCACUUAACAGGUUCUGGUGUUACAGUUGAUAUAUGGACCAGCUAUGCUGCAAGGAUCAUGGCUAUAUCAGUGAUCCCGUUCAUCAUUGUCCAGUUCCCACAGAUCAUGAACUCAACCUCUGGAAGACACUUGGCCGUGUUGCUUGCUCUUAUCAUCUCCGUUACAAUGUUGAUCGCUUAUUGUGUAUAUCAGGUCUUCCAACCAUGGAUCCAAAGGAGGAGACUUGCUUUUGUGAAGCACAAGCACGUAAUAUCGGGAAUUCUAAGACAUUUGAAACGACAUGCUUUGGGAAGGCUUCUCAAUGACAAUGGUGAACCCAAUGAUCAUGUCAUUCGAAAGUUGUUUGAUACAAUCGAUGAGAACAAAGACGGAUUCCUGUCAGCUCCUGAACUAAAAGCACUCAUCAUAGGGAUUCGUUUCGAGGAAAUAGAUCUCGACAAGGACGAUGCUGUGGGAAAAGUCCUCCAAGAUUUCGACAAGUCUCUGGAUGAGCGUGUUGACCAGGAUGAGUUUGUCCAUGGUAUCAAACGCUGGCUCAUCGAAGCAAUGAGAGAAGGCGGUCCAGCCGGUCGUGAUGCCGGUCCUCGAACAAUGAAGUUUAUUGAUAAUUAUCACCAGCAAACAAUGAGAGAGCACGCUCUGUUGAAUGCAGAGGAGAACGAGGAGAAUGACGAGGAGGAUGUUGUUCAUGUUGCAGACCCGAAAUCAGUCACCAUUAAAGCAGUUCUGAUGCUGCUUUUGGGGACUGCCAUUGCCGCUGCUUUCGCUGAUCCACUUGUUGAUACUGUUCAAAACUUCUCCGUAGCAACAAAGAUCCCGUCUUUCUUCAUCUCGUUCAUUGCCUUGCCUUUGGCCACCAAUUCGAGUGAAGCCGUGUCUGCAAUCAUCUUCUCCUCCCGCAAGAAGAUCAGAACCGCCUCAUUAACAUUCUCUGAGCUCUGUGGUGGCGUGACGAUGAACAACAUACUCUGCCUCUCGGUUUUCUUAGCUCUGGUUUAUGCCCGAGAGCUGACAUGGAACUUCUCAUCUGAGGUGCUGGUAAUUCUCAUCGUUUGCCUUGUGAUGGGCGGCUUUGCUAGCUUCCGCACAACCUACCCUCUCUGGACAUGCUUCAUAGCUUACCUGCUCUAUCCUUUCUCCCUGGGUCUGGUCUACAUUCUCGACUUCUGGUUCAGCUGGUCAUAGAUCAUUCAGAAUGGAACUGGCUUCGGUGUUGGAGUUACUGUGUCUUGUCACCUUCCACUUGGCUCACUCGGUCUCAACCUCAGCUCAAGAUCCAAACUUUCUUCACUUCCAUUAGAGUGGCUCGUUCGUGAUUGCCUUUGCUGUGUAGCUGGUGGAAAGAAGUUGUGGUAACGGCAUACGGGCUGCUGACUCUGUCUGUUGGAUCCCUGUACAAAGGCUGGAUUGAGGCUGCUGGUUUUGGAUGUCCGAAACUUGAGAUUGUGGAUGAUGUUCUUACUGCAGGAGGAGGAGGAGGAAGAGGAGGAAGAGGAGGAGGAGAUGAUAACGAGAGAAAAUCCCUAGCAACAGUCUCAUUAGACCCCUCGUUCUUUCUGUUUACAUUCGAUUCUGAAGCUGAAGUUGAGCUCGAAACACCGUCUCUGCAACAGAGAAGUUAAAGCUUAUGACUUCAUAGCAAAAACCGAACUUGUGUAUUUCAGCCACAUUGUCCAAACCAAACAAAACCAAACCACUGUCUGGACCUGACCUGUGCAUCCGUUUUGCCUCUUUGGAAUCUGAUAUGACUGAGUCGAAGAA